rnacentral:rRNA from 1 species
AUUGAACGCUGGCGGCAGGCUUAACACAUGCAAGUCGAGCGAGUGGCGGACGGGUGAGUAAUGUCUGGGAAACUGCCUGAUGGAGGGGGAUAACUACUGGAAACGGUAGCUAAUACCGCAUACCAUCAGAUGUGCCCAGAUGGGAUUAGCUAGUAGGUGGGGUAAAGGCUCACCUAGGCGACGAUCCCUAGCUGGUCUGAGAGGAUGAACAGCCAAACUGGAACUUAGAAACGGGCCAGACUCCUACGGGAGGCAGCAGGGGGGAAUAAUGCACAAUGGGCGCAAGCCUGAGGCAGCCAUGCCGCGUGUAUGAAGAAGGCCUUCGGGUUUUAAAGUACUUUCAGUAGGGAGGCGUUACCUGCAGAAGAAGCACCGGCUAACUCCGUGCCAGCCGCCGCGGUAAUUC